CGGGGUGUAGCGCAGUCUGGCUUAGCGCGCCACGCUUGGGACGUGGAGGUCGUGGGUUCAAAUCCCGCCACCCCGA
rnacentral:tRNA from 1 species